rnacentral:rRNA from 1 species
GAUCAUGGCUCAGGACGAACGCUGGCGGCGCGCCUAACACAUGCAAGUCGAACGAGCGAGAGAGAGCUUGCUUUCUCGAGCGAGUGGCGAACGGGUGAGUAACGCGUGAGGAACCUGCCUCAAAGAGGGGGACAACAGUUGGAAACGACUGCUAAUACCGCAUAAGCCCACGGCUCGGUAUCGAGCAGAGGGAAAAGGAGUAAUCCGCUUUGAGAUGGCCUCGCGUCCGAUUAG